GUCAAAGUGGCCGAGUGGUUAAGGCGCUGGUUUUGAACACCAGUACGCAUUGCGUGCGGGGGUUCGAAUCCUCUCUUUGACG
rnacentral:tRNA from 1 species